CAGAACCACAUCUCUUCACCCAUAGGACCACACCCUUCUCAGACUGGGAUGCACAGCUCCACUAGUUUGCAGAGAGGACGCACAACAGCAGAAUAUCCGUGGUCCAACUUCUGAAGCAUCAGUAUUACCACAAGAUUUGGAAGAAGCAAAGUUAUGUCAUUUCCAAGGUUCAUCUUGGCUGAAAUCAUCCCACGUGUAUUGUUUUCUGUCCAGCUUGCCUCCCUCGGCACGAGGUGGAAGAGACUCACCCAGCAUGUGUGUGUCAGCGUUUGCUCCUCUGCACGGCUGAGGGCUUUCUGCUCUGUGGAUGCCCCGCAGUGCGCUCGUCUUUCU